rnacentral:rRNA from 1 species
GACGCAGUAGGAUAGGCGAAGCGUGCUGUUGGAGUGCACGUCCAAGCAGUGAGAUUGAGUGUUAGGCAAAUCCGGCACUCUUAAGAUUGAGCUGUGAUGGGGAGAGGAACUUGUUCCUCGAGUCGUUGAUUUCACACUGCCGAGAAAAGCCUCUAGCUAGAAUAACGGUGCCCGUACCGCAAACCGACACAGGUAGUCAAGAUGAGAAUUCUAAGGUGAGCGAGCGAACUCUCGUUAAGGAACUCGGCAAAAUGACCCCGUAACUUCGGGAGAAGGGGUGCUCUUUGAGGUUCACGCUUCGAAGAGCCGCAGUGAAUAGGCCCAAGCGACUGUUUAUCAAAAACACAGGUCUCUGCUAAACCGUAAGGUGACGUAUAGGGGCUGACGCCUGCCCGGUGCUGGAAGGUUAAGAGGAGUGGUUAGCGCAAGCGAAGCUACGAAUCGAAGCCCCAGUAAACGGCGGCCGUAACUAUAACGGUCCUAAGGUAGCGAAAUUCCUUGUCGGGUAAGUUCCGACCCGCACGAAAGGCGUAACGAUUUGGGCACUGUCUCAACGAGAGACUCGGUGAAAUCAUAGUACCGGUGAAGAUGCCGGUUACCCGCGACAGGACGGAAAGACCCCGUGGAGCUUUACUGUAGCCUGAUAUUGAAAUUCGGUACAGUUUGUACAGGAUAGGUAGGAGCCUUAGAAGCGUGAGCGCUAGCUUACGUGGAGGCAUUGGUGGGAUACUACCCUAAUUGUAUUGGAUUUCUAACCCGCAGCACUUAUCGUGCUGGGAGACAGUGUCAGGCGGGCAGUUUGACUGGGGCGGUCGCCUCCUAAAGAGUAACGGAGGCGCUCAAAGGUUCCCUCAGAAUGGUUGGAAAUCAUUCAUAGAGUGUAAAGGCAUAAGGGAGCUUGACUGCGAGACCUACAAGUCGAGCAGGGUCGAAAGACGGACUUAGUGAUCCGGUGGUUCCGCAUGGAAGGGCCAUCGCUCAACGGAUAAAAGCUACCCCGGGGAUAACAGGCUUAUCUCCCCCAAGAGUUCACAUCGACGGGGAGGUUUGGCACCUCGAUGUCGGCUCAUCGCAUCCUGGGGCUGUAGUCGGUCCCAAGGGUUGGGCUGUUCGCCCAUUAAAGCGGUACGCGAGCUGGGUUCAGAACGUCGUGAGACAGUUCGGUCCCUAUCCGUCGUGGGCGUAGGAAAUUUGAGAGGAGCUGUCCUUAGUACGAGAGGACCGGGAUGGACAUACCUCUGGUGUACCAGUUGUCGUGCCAACGGCAUAGCUGGGUAGCUAUGUAUGGACGGGAUAAGUGCUGAAAGCAUCUAAGCAUGAAGCCCCCCUCGAGAUGAGAUUUCCCAACUUCGGUUAUAAGAUCCCUCAAAGAUGAUGAGGUGAAUAGGUUCGAGGUGGAAGCGU